rfam:Paenibacillus sp. IHBB 10380, complete genome.
AGCACCUUUAAUUCAGUCCCGUGAGACUGGCAAGGUUACGUGAACCGAGGUUCACCAAACAGCAUCCGUGUGAGCAUGUGCUCUUAUUGGAUUGCGUUCGGUCUCCUCUCAUUCAUUCUGUAAUGGAUGAAUUCGUGAACUCCUUGCCACUUGGGUAAGGAGUUUUUUGUUU